rfam:Clostridium sp. 26_22 Ley3_66761_scaffold_159, whole genome shotgun sequence.
GCCGAUGUGGCGGAAUUGGUAGACGCACACGACUCAAAAUCGUGCGGGAAACCAUGUGGGUUCGAGUCCCACCAUCGGUA